UUCUUAUUUUAAAAAGACAAAUGAUUAUGGGUCGUAGGUGUCUUAAAUAUUUGUACAUAUUCUCAACUUCAGCUGACUUUUUCCUCUUUCUUUUCCUCUGUUAGAAGCAACUUUUAUUGGGUUGUGUUGAACUUUUUUGGUUGAUUCAGAAAAAGGAAACUUUUUGGUGGGGCAGAAUUGGUUGCUUUGCAGAGGAAGUUGUGUUUCCCAUUGCUGCUAAAGUUCUUUGAGUUUUGGAUUUGAAAAAGUGCUGUCGUACAGUUUCUGUUGUGUAUAUGAGGAAGCAUUUGGAGAUUCCAAUGGGAAUUAUUAAUAGCCAACUGCAGAUUUUGGAGCUGCAGAAGGUGUGAUUAGUUGGGUUGUGCUACAAGCUCUAAGCUACCAUUGGCCUUAAGGCUUUAAACCAGUUGGUAGCAUCAUGGGCUGUGAAUGUUCUAAAUUUGCCUUGUAUUACUGGACAGGACAGAGUGGCCCCAUUUACGAGGCUCAAAAUCCUGAUGAAGAAAAAGAUGAAGUUAGUGAUUUGCCUGCAUUCCGAGAGUUUACAUUUGAGCAGCUCAGGAUAGCUACAUCUGCAUUUGCUGUGGAGAAUAUAGUUUCGGAACAUGGUGAGAAAGCUCCAAAUGUUGUUUAUAAAGGAAAGCUGGAGAACCAGAGGCCGGUUGCUAUUAAACGCUUCAACAGAUCUGCGUGGCCUGAUACCCGGCAGUUUUUAGAAGAAGCAAGGGCCGUCGGUCAACUCCGCAACAAUAGGUUAGUGAAUCUUCUUGGCUGUUGCUGCGAGGGUGAUGAGAGGUUGCUAGUUGCAGACUUCAUUCCCAAUGAGACACUUGCAAAGCAUCUUUUUCAUUGGGACACACAACCAAUGAAGUGGGCAAUGCGGUUAAGGGUGGCCUUGUAUAUUGCACAGGCUCUUGAGUAUUGUACAAGCGUAGGGCGUGCUCUUUAUCAUGUUACAGGCAAAGGGCUUGCUCUUUAUCAUGAUCUUAAUGCUUAUAGAAUAUUAUUCGAUGAAGAUGGUGAUCCCCGACUCUCUUGUUUUGCUUUGAUGAAGAACAGUCGAGGUGGAAAAAGUUAUAGCACAAACUUGGCAUCUCCUGAAUAUUUGAGAACAGGAAUAAUCACCCAGGAGAGUGUGAUAUUUAGCUUCGGGACACUUUUGCUUGACCUUCUCAGUGGAAAACACAUCCCUCCUAGCCAUGCACUGGAUCUCAUAAAAGACCGGAAUCUUCAGAUGCUAACUGAUUCUUGCUUGGAAGGUCAAUUUUCUACAGAUGACGGAACUGAAUUGGUGCGGAUUGCUUCAAGUUGUCUUCAAUACGAGCCUGAGCGGCCGGAUUUCAAGUCCUUAGUUGCUGCAUUAUAUCCUCUUCAAAAAGAAGCUGAGGUUCCCUCUCAUGUAUUGAUGGGUAUAUCACGUGAUGGCGAAACUAUGUCUCUUUCUCCACUUGGUGAAGCUUGUUUGAAAACCGACUUGACUGCCAUCCAUGAGAUAUUAGACACGCUUGGGUACAAAGAUGAUGAGGGAGCAGCUACUGAGCUUUCAUUUCAGAUGUGGACAGAUCAGAUGCUGGAAACAUUGAACUCAAAGAACAAGGGUGAUGCUGCUUUCAAGAACAAAGAUUUUAGAGCUGCCAUUGAAUGCUAUACGAAGUUUAUUGAUGUUGGAACCAUGGUUUCACCAACUGUGUACGCUCAUCGGAGUCUGUCUUAUCUCAUGAGUGAUAUGCCACAAGAAGCCCUCAACGAUGCAGUACAAGCACAGGUAAUAUCUCCUGUUUGGCAUAUCGCAUCGUAUUUGCAAACUGCUUCUCUUUUCACAUUGGGGAGGGAAAACGAGGCACUAGUCGCACUUAGAGAGGCUGCCAUACUCGAAGAAGAGAAGAACGCCGCUUCUUGAAAUUGGCGAGUGGAGCUUCACAAAUCUUGAGAUGCUGUCGAUCUUUCACCUACAUGCAUGCAACAACAACAACAUACCCAGUGUAUUCCCACAAAUGGGGUCUGGGGAAGGUAGUGUGUACGACCCUUACCUAUUGAAGGUAGAGAGGGUCACCUACAUGUAUGCAAUGUGACAUUGGUUCCUAAAGAUACAAGAUCUAUGGAAAAAGAUGGAGAGAGAUUAGCAUGUUGUAAUUUAUGUACAGUGAUAUAUGGUUGUUCAACUGAGUUUUUCUUUUUUCUUUCCCUCUUGUGGGCACUGGUUUUCUACCUAUAAUUUCUUUCUUAUGGUUU